GACGAACGCUGGCGGCGUGCUUAACACAUGCAAGUCGAGCGAGAAACCCUCUUCGGAGGGGAGUACAGCGGCGAACGGGUGAGUAACACGUGGGCAACCUGCCCCAAGGAGCGGGACAACCCGGGGAAACUCGGGCUAAUACCGCAUGUUCCGUGGUGCCUCAAGGCACCUCGGGAAAUGGUAGCUUCGGCCUCCGCCUUGGGAUGGGCCCGCGGCGCAUUAGCUUGUUGGUGAGGUAACGGCCCACCAAGGCGACGAUGCGUAGCUGGUCUGAGAGGACGAUCAGCCACACUGGGACUGAGACACGGCCCAGACUCCUACGGGUGGCUG
rnacentral:rRNA from 1 species